AUGCCUGUAGUGUAAUAGCUGAAGGUGUAGACGGGUGCUAAGCGGUGCUCUACACACGAUAUGGAACCUGUCGGCUCGCCUGCAUGCCUUUGAAUGCCCUUGAAAAGAUGUCUGCAGGAGAAUGGCACGUUUACUUUGAACAAAUCUGAGUACUCAAAUCAGGCCGAUGUUGCCUGAAAAGUAAUGCAUGGAAUAUUGGAAUAGGACUCUGGUUCUAUUUUGUUGGUUUUUGGGUCCGAAGUAGUGAUCGAAUGAGACAGGCGGGGAUGUUUGUAAGGCUGCGCCAGAGGUGAAAUUCAUGGAACGUAGCCAGACAGAAUAGAGCGAAAGCAUUCGUCAAGCAUGUCUUCAUUGGCCAUGAGCGAAAGUAAGAGGCUCAAAGACGAUCAGAUACCGUCCUCGUUGUGACCAUAAACGAUGCAAACUGACAAUCCGUGGAGGUAGUAAUGUUACCUCCCCCACCGACAGUCGCCAAAAAACCUUUAAGUGUUUGGAUU
rnacentral:ncRNA from 1 species